rnacentral:rRNA from 1 species
UGAGUAACCUGCCCUUAACUCUGGGAUAAGCCUGGGAAACUGGGUCUAAUACCGGAUAUGACUCCUCAUCGCAUGGGUGGGGGGUGGAAAGCUUUAUUGUGGUUUUGGAUGGACUCGCGGCCUAUCAGCUAGUUGGUGGGGUAACGCCUACCAAGGCAACGACGGGUAGCUGGUCUGAGAGGAUGGCCAGCCACAUUGGGACUGAGACACGGCCCAGACUCCGUACGGGGAGCAG